rnacentral:rRNA from 1 species
UGGGCAACCUGCCCCAGACUCAGGGAUAACCCCGGGAAACCGGGGCUAAUACCCGAUACUCCGAUCGAACCACAUGGCUCGAUCGGGAAAGCUCCGACGGUCUGGGAUGGGCCCGCGGCCUAUCAGCUUGUUGGUGGGGUAACAGCCUACCAAGGCGACGACGGGUAGCCGGCCUGAGAGGGCGACCGGCCACACUGGGACUGAGAUACGGCCCAGACUCCUACGGGAG